GUUGGCAGCCUUGUCUAUCUUGCUGUUACGCGUCCUGACAUCUCCUAUCCUGUCCACAUCCUGAGUCAAUUUGUGUCAGCUCCCACCUCUGUCCACUAUAGUCACCUCCUCCGUGUCCUACGAUAUCUUCGUGGCACGAUCUCUCAGCGCCUUUUCUUUCCCCGCUCCAGCUCUCUUGAGCUCCAGGCCUACUCUGAUGCUACCUGGGCUAGUGAUCCCUCUAAUCGACGCUCGCUAUCUGCUUACUGUGUCUUCCUUGGUGGCUCUCUUAUUGCCUGGAAGACAAAGAAACAGACUGCAGUUUCUCGCUCAAGUACAGAGGCUAAGUUGCGAGCCAUGGCUAUGUUGACGACUGAGGUGAUCUGGUUACGGUGGUUACUUGAGGAUUUUGGUGUGUCUUCUACUACCUCAACUCCUCUCCUGUCCGACAGUACCGGUGCCAUCAGUAUU
rnacentral:rRNA from 1 species